CUAAAAGUAAAUAAGAACGGGACCAACUUGGCAAGAAUAAAACCAUGUAUUUGCUCGAGCAACAUUUCAAGAACACCUGCACAGCUAUUUUGGCAAUGCGCUGGUAGCUCUAUUCAGCCUUCCUCGUCUGUUAUCCACCUUCAGAUAUCGACUCUUUUAAUCAACAUCUCCGAGGAACAGUUCGUCAAUAACGGUAGCGUGGGCAAUACAAGAGUGGAGCGAAUCAACGUCCACCUUCACCCAAGACAGUACCUAAAUAAAUU
rnacentral:lncRNA from 1 species